CACUCCGACCUGAGAAGUGGCCCCAUAGAGACACGGACAAGGACCAGCCACUGUUGCCAGUGCACAACUGAGGACCCGACCAGCCUGCUGCCAUCUAUGAUAUAUAGUACCCGCGGAGCGGUCUGAAGACGUGGAGUACACUGCAGCAGGUAUCACAUGACCAAGGACUUGGACAACGUCUCUGUUUACAUCUAUAGUGUAUUACACAACUGAAGAUGUGCACAGUACGCUACUGCCUGCAUCCUACCACCACAGAGGAUCCGAUAUGCAGAACCAGCUUCAAAAACCAUUGCAAUUAUGAAACACAGUUAAUAAAUGCUUAUAUACAGCA